GGGGAUCGUAAGACCUUGCGCUUUUGGAGCGGCCGAUGCCUGAUUAGCUAGUUGGUGGGGUAAUGGCCUACCAAAGCUUCGAUCAGUAGCUGGUCUGAGAGGACGGCCAGCCACACUGGGACUGAGACACGGCCCAGACUCCUACGGGAGGCAGCAGUGGGGAAUUUUGGACAAUGGGCGCAAGCCUGAUCCAGCCAUGCCGCGUGAGUGAAGAAGGCCUUCGGGUUGUAAAGCUCUUUCAGCCGGGAAGAAAAGGUUGCGAUUAAUAAUCGCAAUUUAUGACGGUACCGGAAGAAGAAGCACCGGCUAACUACGUGCCAGCAGCCGCGGUAAUACGUAGGGUGCGAGCGUUAAUCGGAAUUACUGGGCGUAAAGGGUGCGCAGGCGGUUUUGUAAGUCAGAUG
rnacentral:rRNA from 1 species